AACGAACGCUGGCGGCGCGCCUAAUACAUGCAAGUCGAGCGAGAAGACGUAGCAAUACGUUUGUAAAGCGGCGAACGGGUGAGGAACACAUGGGUAACCUACCCUAGAGUGGGGAAGUAACUAGCCGAAAGGUUAGCUAAUACCGCGUACGCUCCUUGGACUUCGGUACAGGGAGGGAAAGCGAUACCGUGGGUAGUCGCGCUCUUGGUAGUGGGCGUCAUGUCCUAUCAGCUUGUUGGUGAGGAACGGCGUCACCAA
rnacentral:rRNA from 1 species